AAAUUGAAGAGUUUGAUCAUGGCUCAGAUUGAACGCUGGCGGCAGGCCUAACACAUGCAAGUCGAACGGUAACAGGAAGCAGCUUGCUGCUUCGCUGACGAGUGGCGGACGGGUGAGUAAUGUCUGGGAAACUGCCUGAUGGAGGGGGAUAACUACUGGAAACGGUGGCUAAUACCGCAUAACGUCGCAAGACCAAAGAGGGGGACCUUC
rnacentral:rRNA from 11 species